rfam:Sphingomonadales bacterium EhC05 A9_Contig5, whole genome shotgun sequence.
UCGGGAGUCGGGUGGACGUAGUGUUCGCCAACCCGGUCAGAUCCGGAAGGAAGCAGCCGUAACGAUUUUUCUGCGGGUCGCCCGGCUUCUACUCA